rnacentral:piRNA from 1 species
CAAGCUAAACGGAGGAACAUGGA